AAUCUAUGCAAAGUAAGUUUGAGCUUUAAACAUUAUAAAAUGGUCAUAUCUUUUUCUAUUUGAUACAUGCAAAAGAAAGGGAAAUAUAUGGCUAAACUUGUGACGUUUGUUUAUGUUAUGAUAUACUUUUUGUCCCUAUUUCUUGUUACAAAGGGGGCGUACUAUGAAUGUUCUAAUGAUUCUGCAUGUCAAGCAACAACUAAGUGUGUGCUUCCUAGGGUUCCUCGGUGUAUUAAAUACAAAUGUCUAUGUGGUAAUUCCAAUGGUUCUGGUAAUCGUUGGAGUACAAGACCAAAUAGAAUACAAAAAGGCUCUACAGAGAGCAAUUACUUCUAGAACUAGAAAAAAAAAAUACUAAUAAAUAUCAUUUAUGAUACUACCUCUGGUCCUAUUUAU